UAGGGAAUCUUCCGCAAUGGACGAAAGUCUGACGGAGCAACGCCGCGUGAGUGAAGAAGGAUUUCGGUUCGUAAAACUCUGUUGUUAGGGAAGAAAAAAUGUAUAGUAACUAUAUACAAAAGAGACGAUACCUAACCAGAAAGCCACGGCUAACUACGUGCCAGCAGCCGCGGUAAUACGUAGGUGGCAAGCGUUGUCCGGAAUUAUUGGGCGUAAAGCGCGCGCAGGUGGUUUAGAAAGUCUGAUGUGAAAGCCCACGGCUCAACCGUGGAGGGUCAUUGGAAACUAAUAAACUUGAGUGCAGGAGAGAAAAGUGGAAUUCCUAGUGUAGCGGUGAAAUGCGUAGAGAUUAGGAGGAACACCGGUGGCGAAAGCGGCUUUUUGGCCUGCAACUGACACUGAGGCGCGAAAGCGUGGGGAGCAAACAGG
rnacentral:rRNA from 1 species